AUGCGAGGCAAAAAGGAAGUCAUGUAUAGUGAAAAGGAAGGUCAUCACCAAAGAACAGAAACCAGUAGAGCAAAGAUUAUUGGCUCUGAAUUCGAGGGGUCUAAAUACAAUUGCAACGUUGAUGAAGAUCGUAAAGACAAAGAAGUGAAACAAAUAAGAAAAACAGGCAGGCUGCAUGAAGUUCUUUGCAAUGUUUUUGGUGAUAGUGAUGAGAAUGACCACGCCUUGUAUGGUGAUACUGAGGAUGUCAAUAGACCGCCUACCGAGGGAGAAGGCCAGUGUGCGAAUAUUUUACAACCAAAGGAUGUAACUCGUGGCAAAGAUACGUGCUAUGAAGAGUCCAAACAUUGUUUAACUGGUCCUCCGCUGAACUUGGUGGUUCCACAUAUACCACCACACGGUCAACCUGAUCAGUUAAAAGUAAUCAAGGUGUCAAAUGUCGUGGGGAUUAAUCCAAAACCUUUCGAUCCUGAAACGUACAUGGAAGAGGAUGACUUCAUUACCGAUGAAUCUAAGGGCAAGGAAAGUGUGCAUAUGGAUGUUGUCCGUUGCAGAAGGGCCAAGAAUGCUGAUGGCACUGAAUCUCUUGAAAGCAAUGCACGUUUUGUCCAGUGGAAAGAUGGAAGCAUGCAACUACUGAUUGGUCAUGUGGCUCUUGAUGUAUCUGUAGAAGAGUCAAGUCAGCAUACCCACUUGUUUAGGAAGAAUGGAAAGGGGCUUCUACAGUCACAAGGAAGGCUUUUACAGAAGAUGAGAAUUAUGCCGCCCGAGUCAUCUUCAAGAUCUCAUAGCUCAUUAACAGCUCCUAUUGAUUCUCAGAAUGAGAAAACAAUUAAGGUGCAAACAUGGUAUGAUAAAAAUAUCCCGAGAGAAUGA
rnacentral:rRNA from 1 species